rnacentral:rRNA from 1 species
UACACACCGCCCGUCACACCAUGGGAGUGGGUUGCACCAGAAGUAGUUAGCUUAACCUUCGGGAGGGCGACUACCACGGUGUGAUUCAUGACUGGGGUG